rnacentral:rRNA from 1 species
CGUGUAGGCGGCCCUGUAAGUCAGAUGUGGAAGCCCUCGGCUUAACCGGGGAAGUGCAUCUGAAACUGCUUGGCUUGAGUACGGGAGAGGGAGGCGGAAUUCCCAGUGUAGAGGUGAAAUUCGUAGAUAUUGGGAGGAACACCGGUGGCGAAAGCGGCCUCCUGGACCGAUACUGACGCUGAGACGCGAAAGCGUGGGGAGCAAACAGGAUUAGAUACCCUGGUAGUCCACGCGGUAAACGAUGGGCACUAGGUGUGGGGGGUAUCCACUCCUCCUGUGCCGAAGCUAACGCAUUAAGUGCCCCGCCUGGGAGUACGGCCGCAAGGUUAAA